GGGAAGGUAGCUCAGUGGUAGAGCGCUUGCCUUGUAUGCCUGAGGCCCUGGGUUCGAUUCCUGAGCACCA
rnacentral:tRNA from 1 species